CGGGGGGAGCAAGCGUUGUUCGGAUUUACUGGGCGUAAAGGGCGCGUAGGCGGCCACCGCAAGUCGACUGUGAAAUCUCCGGGCUUAACCCGGAAAGGUCAGCCGAUACCGCGGGGCUAGAGUGCAGAAGGGGCAACUGGAAUUCUCGGUGUAGCGGUGAAAUGCGUAGAUAUCGAGAGGAACACCUGCGGCGAAGGCGGGUUGCUGGGCUGACACUGACGCUGAUGCGCGAAAGCUAGGGGAGCGAACGGGAUUAGAUACCCCGGUAGUCCUAGCCUUAAACGAUGAAUGCUUGGUGUCUGGGGUUUUAUAGUCCCCGGGUGCCGUCGCUAACGCUUUAAGCAUUCCGCCUGGGGAGUACGGUCGCAAGACUG
rnacentral:rRNA from 1 species